rnacentral:rRNA from 1 species
UACGUAGGGUGCGAGCGUUGCCCGGAUUUAUUGGGCGUAAAGGGCGCGUAGGCGGCCACGCACGUCCGUUGUGAAAUCGCUCGGCUCAACUGGGCGGGGUCAGCGGAUACGGUGUGGCUAGAGCAAGCUAGGGGGCAAUGGAAUUCCCGGUGUAGUGGUGGAAUGCGUAGAUAUCGGGAGGAACACCAGUGGCGAAGGCGGUUGCCUGGAGCUUUGCUGACGCUGAUGCGCGAAAGCGUGGGGAGCGAUCCGG